UUCCUGCUUACCCUCAACAUAGAGCUUCAUCUCAUGGGUGGGGGGAAACGGCUGUAUCUACCCUGGGGAUUGCUAUAUCACUAUACUCCUCUGGGUUAUAAUCACAUGCUCUUGUAAGAGCAGCCUGCUACACUCUCUGGAGUAGUAGAGGUCUACCCACUGGAAGCUGGAUCCUGGUCUUGGGUCCAGGGUGGAUGGAGGAUGGCAAGACCCCAGCCAAGCUGUAACGCUGGAAGUGGGGACUACGGUGCUGAUGGUGUCUGGUGUGGUGCUUGUGGUAUUCGGUAAGCACUAGGAAGCAGCGACUGGUGGAGGCACCCAGUCGGGGUGCCAGGCGGUCUGUCAUACAGUGUAUUGACUGAAUCUAUACCAUGUUCUGAUUGUGAUUGGAAAGCAGUGGAAGGAAAACAGUUAUGCACUUAAUGUCUUCAGAAGGUAGCCGCUUCAAUAUCACCUAUACCUGCAAAGCCACAUGACAUGCUAGCAUGACUUACAAAGGAAGUUCCAAGGUAUUUCAGAAGCCUUAGAGGUAAGAAAAAAAGAGGCCAGACGUUACCCUGUGGAGGAAGGUACUUGCACCCCCUGGACUACAAAACCUAAGGUGGAUGCACCUAUUUCCAGGGUAGCCUGUGGGAUGAUGCUAUCGCUUGACAACUCGGCUUUUUUACGCAAGCCUAUGUAUCAAAACUGGACGUAGACCUGUCCAAAUCUUUACUCCUGCCAAUGCAGG